UGGGGGAUAUUGCACAAUGGGCGAAAGCCUGAUGCAGCAACGCCGCGUGAGGGAAGACGGUUUUCGGAUUGUAAACCUCUGUCUUCGGUGAAGAAACAAAUGACGGUAGCCGAGGAGGAAGCCACGGCUAACUACGUGCCAGCAGCCGCGGUAAUACGUAGGUGGCAAGCGUUGUCCGGAAUUACUGGGUGUAAAGGGAGCGCAGGCGGGUAGACAAGUCAGCUUUGAAAACUAUGGGCUUAACCCAUAAACUGCAGUUGAAACUGUUUUUCUUGAGUGUAGUAGAGGUAGGCGGAAUUCCGAGUGUAGCGGUGAAAUGCGUAGAUAUUCGGAGGAACACCAGUGGCGAAGGCGGCCUACUGGGCUCUAACUGACGCUGAGGCUCGAAAGUGUGGGGAGCAAACA
rnacentral:rRNA from 1 species